rnacentral:tRNA from 1 species
CGGCUCGAUCGGUGCCGGUUCGGCCGGUUUCGACGGCCCGGGGCUGGGCACCGGCCUCGGCUGCGACGGCUCGGGUUCGUCCGGGUCGGC